rnacentral:rRNA from 1 species
UACGAAGGGGGCUAGCGUUGCUCGGAAUCACUGGGCGUAAAGCGCACGUAGGCGGCUUUUUAAGUCAGAGGUGAAAUCCUGGAGCUCAACUCCAGAACUGCCUUUGAUACUGGAGAGCUUGAGUCCGGGAGAGGUGAGUGGAACUGCGAGUGUAGAGGUGAAAUUCGUAGAUAUUCGCAAGAACACCAGUGGCGAAGGCGGACUCACUGGCCCGGUACUGACG